rnacentral:lncRNA from 1 species
GGUCAAGGCUUUGUGUGCUCAAAUGCCAGUAGUGCUAGCUACUGAUGACUCACAGUUGCAUACAACUCUGGGAAUUGCCCUCAGCUGAAGGCAGCUGCCUUGCCCAAAUCUGUGCUCCUGUUCUUGGCUGCAGCCAUAUCCAAUGAUGGAUUGUUGUGAGGCUAAAUCAAAAUACGUCUGGAAAUUUCAUUGGCUCUACCUUCAAAAUGUAUUCAGAAUUCAGAAAGUUCUUCAGGCAAAAGGAAUAUGAAACCAACCGUAAACUUGGAUCUACAUCAAGAAAUGAAGAGCGCUGGAAAUGGGAUAAAGUAAGAUCUAAUUAGGAAGAACUUGCUUUGUCUGGGAGUAAUUAAAUUUUAUCAGGACAAAUUAAAUACAAGUUGAUGGCCUUACAGCUUAUCUAAAAAUCAUCCUAGAUUGCCUACUAAAAUUGAAAUUAAAUUCUUUUCCAUCGCUUUACCAGGAAGACUUCAUGAAUAGAAUUUGGAUUCUUGAUCAAUUUCAACUUUUGGACUAUUCUCUUCCUAAAAGACAGAUCUUAGAAGCCAAGAAAUUAAGCUGAAAAACAACAAACCACCAAAGGAUCUUACCCAGGAUAUAUUUGAUAAACUCUCUUUUCCUUGCUAUUAAAUGUAUCCUGUUGCCUUGAAAGAAAUGAAUACACCUACCUUAUACAGUGAGCAAUUUUCUCUCCAAGGAUUAUUUUACUCAUUCAGGUUCACCAUGGGUCAGGCUAAGAGCAGUCCUAGUAUAAUUCAUAUUUCUUCCCACAGACAUUCUUAACUGCUUCAGGAUGUGUGACUAAUUAGAAGAAAUACACAGAGCAGGCACUGUAUGUGACACACAGCAACCACCUGCACAGGUUGCCAUUGUGUUUAAGUCACAUAGAUUACCCUAUGAGUCAUUAACUUUUAUAAAAAGUCUUAAA